AAAAAGAAGAAAAAAAAGAGAGAGAGAAAAGAAAAAGAUAAGAAAAAGAACAGUAAUAAAAGAGUGAAAGGAAAGAGUUAUUUAUUUAUUUAUUUAUUUUUUAUUAUUUAAUUAGCUAUGUGGGGGGGUAGGGAGAGAGUGGGUAGGGGAGAUAGGAAGAGUAAAACAAGUUACUUUAGUAGUGGAUAAAACACCCAGUCCCCUAGCAAUGGAAAAUACACGAAGAGUUAAUUCUGGUAAUCCUGAAGAAGAGGGGGAAAGGGAUACAUGUUUAUCUUGUAUUGAUAAUAAAAUAGAACAGAGUAAAAAGCCUGUCCUGUCUUCAGCUUGGAUAGCUCCAGAUUGCCUCAGGCCCCCUGAGCAGAGGCAGCUGAUUGUUGCGAAAAUAAAGAAAAGAAAAAAAAAAAAAACCUCUGAUGGUCUUUUCCUGUCUGUGUAAGAUGCUGCUUGGUGGAAUAUUUGUAUCUGGAAUUGGCUAUUUAGAAAGAAAAAAGGUCCUCAACAUGCUUCAGCUCAGACUGUGUCCAGAGACUUCACGUGUGGAAUGACAACCCUUCAGCUUCAUUACUUGGGAAAGCAAGCCCAGCUGAAGCUGUGAGCAACAAGAUUUCUUCCACUUCAGAAACAGACAUCUCAGUUAACUCUUGCUGCAAACUACCCUGUGUUCUUCCAGACAACAAGAUGGAGAGUGAUAUCAUUGGACUUCAGUGCCUGAAGAACUUCAUCUCUGCUGUGAAACCCUGGAAUCAAGCAGAAAAAAAAAAAAGGGGG